rnacentral:rRNA from 1 species
CCUACGGGGUGCAGCAGUGGGGAAUAUUGGACAAUGGGCGAAAGCCUGAUCCAGCCAUGCCGCGUGUGUGAAGAAGGCCUUCGGGUUGUAAAGCACUUUCAGUGGGGAAGAAAGCCUUGGGGCUAAUACCCUCGAGGAAGGACAUCACCCACAGAAGAAGCACCGGCUAACUCCGUGCCAGCAGCCGCGGUAAUACGGAGGGUGCGAGCGUUAAUCGGAAUUACUGGGCGUAAAGCGCGCGUAGGCGGUCUGAUAAGCCGGUUGUGAAAGCCCCGGGCUCAACCUGGGAACGGCAUCCGGAACUGUCAGGCUAGAGUGCAGGAGAGGAAGGUAGAAUUCCCGGUGUAGCGGUGAAAUGCGUAGAGGUCGGGAGGAAUACCAGUGGCGAAGGCGGCCUUCUGGACUGACACUGACGCUGAGGUGCGAAAGCGUGGGUAGCAAACAGGAUUAGAUACCCGUGUAGUC